CAUAGCUCACUUGGCAGAGCAUAAGACUCUUAAUCUGAGGGUCGUGGGUUUGAGCCCCACAUUGGGUGAAAGA